UGUGACGGACAGAAAAGAGAAUGCCACCCAGUCAACCAACCCAACUGCUUAAAAAGAUACCGUAACACGUCAAUAUUCGAUUGCACCCCGUCUACGGAUCCUUGUCGUAAUCGCUGGACAACAGUAUGCCAAACACCCUAUAACCUCCAGUGCAACGGGGGCUUCGAGUGCAGCUGCUCCUGUACCUACAAGGGACAACUUAAGUGAUUCGCAAGGAACUGUAUGAGUGCAUUUCGGUUCACGGACGUUCCGCCUAACCCCUGGUCAUGACUUUGUCAACGUUUCGGAAACUGAUGGUGUCAAAGAGGACUUUCAAAGAUGGGAAAAGUUGUUUCUGUUUUAAUCACGCUUAUUCUCUCUCUGCACUGAAUUUUCAUGGUGCCCACUUUUAACGCUGUGGUCUACUUCUAGAAUUACCUCACUUUACACCUCAGCAUGCAAUAAAACUGUUUCC